rnacentral:rRNA from 1 species
CGAACGCACAGCGAAAGGUGCUUGCACCUUUCAAGUGAGUGGCGAACGGGUGAGUAACACGUGGAUAACCUACCUCAAGGUUGGGGAUAACAUUUGGAAACAGAUGCUAAUACCGAAUAAAACUUCGUAUCGCAUGAUACCAGGUUAAAAGGCGCUACGGCGUCACCUAGAGAUGGAUCCGCGGUGCAUUAGUUAGUUGGUGGGGUAAAGGCCUACCAAGACAAUGAUGCAUAGCCGAGUUGAGAGACUGAUCGGCCACAUUGGGACUGAGACACGGCCCAAACUCCUACGGGAGGCUGCAGUAGGGAAUCUUCCACAAUGGGCGAAAGCCUGAUGGAGCAACGCCGCGUGUGUGAUGAAGGCUUUCGGGUCGUAAAGCACUGUUGUAUGGGAAGAACAGCUAAGGUAGGGAAUGACCUUAGCCUGACGGUACCAUACCAGAAAGGGACGGCUAAAUACGUGCCAGCAGCCGCGGUAAUACGUAUGUCCCGAGCGUUAUCCGGAUUUAUUGGGCGUAAAGCGAGCGCAGACGGUUGAUUAAGUCUGAUGUGAAAGCCCGGAGCUCAACUCCGGAAAGGCAUGGGAACCUGGUCAACUUGAGUGCAGUA